GCCAAGGUAGCCUAGGUGGUCAUGGCGCAUGUCUGAAGAACAUGAUAUAUCAGUUCGACUCUGAUCCUUGGCA
rnacentral:tRNA from 1 species